UGGGGAAUAUUGCACAAUGGGCGCAAGCCUGAAGCAGCCAUGCCGCGUGUAUGAAGAAGGCCUUCGGGUUGUAAAGUACUUUCAGCGGGGAGGAAGGGAGUAAAGUUAAUACCUUUACUCAUUGACGUUACCCGCAGAAGAAGCACCGGCUAACUCCGUGCCAGCAGCCGCGGUAAUACGGAGGGUGCAAGCGUUAAUCGGAAUUACUGGGCGUAAAGCGCACGCAGGCGGUCUGUCAAGUCGGAUGUGAAAUCCCCGGGCUCAACCUGGGAACUGCAUUCGAAACUGGCAGGCUAGAGUCUUGUAGAGGGGGGUAGAAUUCCAGGUGUAGCGGUGAAAUGCGUAGAGAUCUGGAGGAAUACCGGUGGCGAAGGCGGCCCCCUGGACAAAGACUGACGCUCAGGUGCGAAAGCGUGGGGAGCAAACAGG
rnacentral:rRNA from 1 species